UACGAAGGGGGCUAGCGUUGCUCGGAAUCACUGGGCGUAAAGGGUGCGUAGGCGGGUCUUAAGUCAGGGGUGAAAUCCUGGAGCUCAACUCCAGAACUGCCUUUGAUACUGAAGAUCUUGAGUUCGGGAGAGGUGAGUGGAACUGCGAGUGUAGAGGUGAAAUUCGUAGAUAUUCGCAAGAACACCAGUGGCGAAGGCGGCUCACUGGCCCGAUACUGACGCUGAGGCACGAAAGCGUGGG
rnacentral:rRNA from 1 species